CGCGUAGGCUGCGGGGCAAGUCGGGUGUGAAAUCUCAGAGCUCAACUCUGAAACUGCACUCGAUACUGCUUUGCUUGAGGACUGGAGAGGAGAUUGGAGUUCACGGUGUAGCAGUGAAAUGCGUAGAUAUCGUGAGGAAGACCAGUGGCGAAGGCGGAUCUCUGGACAGUUCCUGACGCUGAGGCGCGAAGGCCAGGGGAGCAAACG
rnacentral:rRNA from 1 species